rnacentral:rRNA from 1 species
GACGAACGCUGGCGGCGUGCCUAAUACAUGCCAGUAGAACGCUGAAGGAGGAGCUUGCUUCUCUGGAUGAGUUGCGAACGGGUGAGUAACGCGUAGGUAACCUGCCUGGUAGCGGGGGAUAACUAUUGGAAACGAUAGCUAAUACCGCAUAAUAGUAGAUGUUGCAUGACAUUUACUUAAAAGGUGCAAUUGCAUCACUACCAGAUGGACCUGCGUUGUAUUAGCUAGUUGGUGGGGUAACGGCUCACCAAGGCGACGAUACAUAGCCGACCUGAGAGGGUGAUCGGCCACACUGGGACUGAGACACGGCCCAGACUCCUACGGGAGGCAGCAGUAGGGAAUCUUCGGCAAUGGACGAAAGUCUGACCGAGCAACGCCGCGUGAGUGAAGAAGGGUUUCGGAUCGUAAAGCUCUGUUGUAAGAGAAGAACGAGGGUGAGAGUGGAAAGUUCACACUGUGACGGUAUCUUACCAGAAAGGGACGGCUAACUACGUG